rnacentral:rRNA from 1 species
UGGGGAAUAUUGCACAAUGGGCGCAAGCCUGAUGCAGCCAUGCCGCGUGUAUGAAGAAGGCCUUCGGGUUGUAAAGUACUUUCAGUCGGGAGGAAGGUGGUAAGGUUAAUAACCUUAUCAAUUGACGUUACCGACAGAAGAAGCACCGGCUAACUCCGUGCCAGCAGCCGCGGUAAUACGGAGGGUGCAAGCGUUAAUCGGAAUUACUGGGCGUAAAGCGCACGCAGGCGGUUGAUUGAGUCAGAGGUGAAAUCCCCGGGCUUAACCCGGGAAUUGCAUCUGAUACUGGUCAGCUAGAGGCUUGUAGAGGGGGGUAGAAUUCCAUGUGUAGCGGUGAAAUGCGUAGAGAUGUGGAGGAAUACCGGUGGCGAAGGCGGCCCCCUGGACAAAGACUGACGCUCAGGUGCGAAAGCGUGGGGAGCAAACAGG